rnacentral:rRNA from 1 species
GACGAACGCUGGCGGCGUGCCUAAUACAUGCAAGUCGAGCGCAGGAAGUCAUCCGAACCCUUCGGGGGGACGUUGACGGAAUGAGCGGCGGACGGGUGAGUAACACGUAAAGAACCUGCCCUCAGGUCUGGGAUAACCACGAGAAAUCGGGGCUAAUACCGGAUGGGUCAUCGGACCGCAUGGUCCGAGGAUGAAAGGCGCUCCGGCGUCGCCUGGGGAUGGCUUUGCGGUGCAUUAGCUAGUUGGUGGGGUAAUGGCCCACCAAGGCGACGAUGCAUAGCCGACCUGAGAGGGUGAUCGGCCACACUGGGACUGAGACACGGCCCAGACUCCUACGGGAGGCAGCAGUAGGGAAUCUUCCACAAUGGACGAAAGUCUGAUGGAGCAACGCCGCGUGAACGAUGAAGGCCCUCGGGUCGUAAAGUUCUGUUGUAAGGGAAGAACAAGUGCCGCAGGCAAUGGCGGCACCUUGACGGUACCUUGAGAGAAAGCCACGGCUAACUACGUG